rnacentral:lncRNA from 10 species
UCUUGACCUCGUGAGCCACCCACCUUGGCCUCACAGAGUGCUGGGAUACAGGCGUGAGCCACCGCGCCCGGCCCGAAACCCACCAGAUUUUUAAGGGCAUUGUGUCAGUUUAAAUGAACAGAGAUGGAAACAGCUGAAAAUGAAGCCUUUGGGUUCCCUCCUUCUACAGGCAGUAAGCAGCUAAGAAAGCUGCUUAGCCUCAAAUACAGGCUAUCGGACAUCUAAAAACACAGAGGAGAGAGACCAAGGGCAGAGCCAAAAUCUGAGGGAAAAAAAAAGGAUAAUAAUGUCACUUCCAGGGAAAAUGAGGCCCUAAAAAAGACACAGACUCUGCCCCCUUAAUGAGGUCCCUUGGCAACAUGCUGUUGACUGAGUCAACAGAGUACUACAGACUGGGGUCUGCAGUGAAUGAGCCCCCACCGCUCUCUUUUUCAAACGAGAGAGUUAUUGUGCUUAUCCUGGGCCUGUCUCAAAAUCCUGUGCUGGGGUCGAGGCAGGUAAUUUUUUCUUUAGUUUAUAGCCUCAAGAGGCAUCUCACACACAUCCGGACCAGAGGAGAAUCAUGAGCUGACGGCCUCUGAGCUGAGACAGCAGCAGGAAGAGACCUCUGGGUGGCUUGAGUGGGGGGUGGCGAGCAUAUUUCACUUGUGGAAGGAAAACGGAGUCUUGCUUUGUCACCAGGCUGGAGUGCAGUGGUGUGAUCUUGGCUCACCGCAACCUCCGCCUCCCGGGUUCCAGCGAUUCUCCUGCCUCAGCCUCCUGAGUAGUGGGGACUACAGACACGCGCCAUCACACCCAGCUAAUUUUUGUAUUUUUUAGUAGAGGCGGGGUUUCACCAUAUUGGACAGGCUGGUCUCGAACUCCUGACCUCAUGAUCCACCUGCCUCAGCCUCCCAAAGUGCUGGGAUUACAGCACAGUGGCCAGCCCCUUCUUCCUCUUUCUUGGUUUGCUCCCUUGAUUUGGAGCUCCUCCUUUAGUAGGCUCCUGAAAACAUGUAUUUUGAAAAUGAAUUUUUAAAAGUAAGAGUUUGCAUAUCUGAAAAUGUUGUCAUACUGUCACACUUGACUGACCACUUGGGUAGGUAUAAAGUUCUAGGUUGGAAAUUAUUUUCACUUGUAAUUUUCGAAGCAUUGUUCUGUCAUUUUCUAACUUCCAGUCUGCCCUUGGGAAGGGAUUUAUUCCUCAGCCUGUGUGUGUGAUCUGCGCUUUCAGAUCGUCUCUAUGUCCUGGACUGUCUGAUGUUUCACGUCAUGCCUGGAUGUAGGUCGUUCCUUCCAUCUUUGUGCGAGAUAUCGGUAGGUGCUUUUACUCUGGAGAUUCAUGUUUCUCGGUUCUGGGGGAAAAUUAUUUCUCUAAUAACUUCAUUCCCACCAUUUUCUGUUUUUGUUUUCCCCUCCUUGGAAUUCCUGUUAGUCUUAAUCUUUCUAUCCUGUCACCCACCUUCUUGUCUUUUCAUUCUUUCAAACAGAUUUUCUCCACUUUCCACCUUCUUGCUAAUUUAAUUUUGCCCAUUACAUUUCCAUCUCUAAGACAUUUUUAUUAUUUUUUUAUUUUUUUCGAGGUGGAGUCUCACUGAGCCUGAGUGACACCCAGGCUGGGAGUCAGCGGUGUGAUCUUGGCUCAGUGCAGCCUCCGCCUCUCAGGUUGAGUAACGCCCAGGCUGGAGUUGGCGGUGCGAUCUUGGCUCACUGCAACCUCUGCCUCCCAGGUUGAGUGAAGUCCAGGCUGGAGUACGGUGGCGCAAUCUCGGCUCACUGCAG